rnacentral:rRNA from 1 species
GACGGAGGAUGCAAGUGUUAUCCGGAAUCACUGGGCGUAAAGCGUCUGUAGGUGGUCAAAUAAGUCAACUGUUAAAUCUUGAGGCUCAACCUCAAAAUCGCAGUCGAAACUAUUAGACCAGAGUAUAGUAGGGGUAAAGGGAAUUUCCAGUGGAGCGGUGAAAUGCGUAGAUAUUGGAAAGAACACCGAUGGCGAAGGCACUUUACUGGGCUAUUACUAACACUCAGAGACGAAAGCUAGGGUAGCAAAUGGG